rnacentral:lncRNA from 1 species
AUGUUGAUGGCAUGCUCUUUUGUGAAAAAAAAAAAAAAAAAAGAUUUUCAUUUGGAAAUAAUUUUAAGUGUACUGAAAAGCUUAAAGAAUAAGAAUAGUAGGACUUCCCUCAUGGUCCAGCGGUUAAGAACCGAUUGCCAAUGCAGGGGACAUAGGUUCUAUCCCUGGUCACGAAACGAAGAUCCCACGUGCCGCAGAGCAGCUCAGCCCUUGCACCACAAGUACCGAAGCCCGCGUGCUCUGAAGUCCGGGCUUUGCAACAGGAGAAACCACCGGGGUGGGAAGCCUUACACCAGGGCAAGAGCAGCCCCCACUCACUGCACUGGAGAGAGCCUGCCCUCAGCAAGGAAGGCGCACUUCACUGGAGAGAGCUUGCCCUCAGCAAGGAAGACACACUGCACUGGAGAGAGCCUGCCCUCAGCAAGGAAGGCGCACUUCACUGGAGAGAGCUUGCCCUCAGCAAGGAAGGCACAGUGCAGCCACAAAAAGAGAGGCACAAUUAUGAUGUACAUAGAAUGGACACAACGAAAACAAAUAACAAAUGUGUGUGGUCAGGCUUGGCCGUCUGGCGAAACCAGUCCCCAGACCAUCACACCCAGCGCUCUCUCUGUUUCUCUGGAAGCAGCGUGUUCGGGAGAAAGAUAAUUAAAAAGGGAAAGAGAAGAAAAAGCUCAGGCUUUAGGGUUGGGGAGCAAGGGGUUUGAAUAACGGCUUCUCCACUCAAGAGUGAACCUAAGGCACGGAUAUAGCUCCUCUCAGCCUCUCUUCCUCAUCAGAGAUGAUGGUGAGGUUCGCUGUCCCUGAAAAACAGCCCAGUGCCUGCCUUGUAUUAGGUACUUGAGCUCGUUAAUGUAUCUUCCUUUCUAGUCAUGAUGUCAUAUUUAUUCAUGCCUAGCAACAUCCUGGCAUUUUCCUUUUGGCAAUUCUGAUCUUGGGAGUGAAAGUAACUCAGAACAAAAGGAUGCAUCCAGCCACGUGGGCGACCUGCUGCGUCCCACCUGCCUCUGACAUCAGCGCUUCUCUCAUGGACUUGCAGCUCCCCGCUGUGAGGCUGACUUUCUCUGCCCCCAUGCCCACCUUUCAGUCCUGGGCUGUGCGGUUUGAGCUGCAGAGGAUCCUCGAGUCUGUACGUGUGAUAAAGGAGACAGCAGCUUAUACUAAAGUGUCUGCCUGACUGAUAACAGAUCAGAAACAGCAAGUGGCCUUUGAAAUUGAAACUCUGACUGUAGUGGGAAAAUGAAAGGAUCUUACAUUCUUUGAUCAAAGGAUGAUAUUUUCCAACUUGGAAAAGGGGACGGUUCUGCCUGCCAAAGCCUCCGAUAAAGGAUGAUAUUUUCCAACUUGGAAAAGGGGAUGGUUCUGCCUGCCAAAGCCUCUGUGUUCCCUACCUACCCUAGGGAAGAAUAUUCAGGAGCAAAGC